UCUUACUUCAUCGUUGCUGGCUUUGUAUUUACAACUGUCUCUGUUCCGUAUCUUCGAUCUGAGUAUGGAAAAGAAUAUGAAUUCGACGCACCUGUCAAGCUAUUGGAGAAGCAUCUUCAUGCAAUGGCUCAAUCCGUGGACGAGCAGCUUGUUGUAGUAUCACAGGUUCUUGUAUCUGACAUUAACAUUGGUUACGAAGAGAUUGUCAACACCCAGGUUGUCGCCUUUAAUGGCAAACCUGUGAAAAACUUGAA